ACAAUAAAGCCACACAAUGUCACUCUGCAGCUGUCUCACUUGUUUUAUUUCAAUCUUAAAACAUUGUACUGUUCAUGAAACCAAACGGUUUCUUAAUUCGCGCAACAAUCAAAAUAAAUUGAGUGGCGCCGGACCCUUACGAACACGACCUGAUGCAUCGUAAUGCGAACCGUGGCACGGGCAGUAGUAUCCACCGAAAUCACCAGCAUUAUGAAUUGGUACGCAUCCUAAGUGGGUGCAUACACCGACAACGAUCAACCACUUUGGAUCUUUCACACGUUCCUAUAAAGAAAAAUCAUUCGUUUAAGUUUUGUGUUUUUGGCUUUUGGAUUGGAUAUGUCCAAAAAUUAAAAGUAGUCAUACCGCAUCAGUUUGUGGAUCUCUCAAUAGACUCAAUGGUACCGCUUCUUCUUUGGCAAUUUCACUGUCAACACGAUGGCGUAUGAACAAUGGCUUACCACGCCAUGAGAAUGUGACUGAUUUCCCUUCGGGAAUGUCAGCCAAUUUAAUUUCGAUCGAAGCCAUACUGAGAACAUCACGAGCUGUUCCCAUAUAUUCGCAAAGUGAGCGCACAGUACCUUUGGCACCAUACAUUCCAGCCGCCCACAUUCCUAUUCAAGAGUAAAGAACAUGCGUCAUUAUUAUGCAAGGCCAUCGAUGAUAUUAGUGGUUAUACAAACCUCCAACGAUGAGGUAGUGGUAAGUCAUCUGCUUCUCAUUAUCAGUGGCGCGAGCUGGAUUUUUUUUAUGGCUCCAUCGGUAUUCAUCGAAUGAUGGCACUUUAAUGUCACGAUGCGACAUAGAAUAGAGUCGCACUUGUUUUCUAGCUAAAAGGAUGAAAAAAUCAUCAACACAAGCAGUGUCGGCUGUUUCUAAAAACCGAUUUUCAGUGUGAACUACGAUAUUUUUAUUAAGAGGUAUAAUUCACAUUAUUCACGAAAAAACUAUUGUUCAAUAUUGAGACGCCCAGAGCGAAAAAUAAUAUACAAAAGAAGAUUUUAUUUUAUUUGCGUACAUUAUCUUUGCUUCGAUGCAUUUAAAAAAAACAACGUAAUUACGAAUUCACAGGAAGAACUACUUUUUGCGCACUUGAAUAUUGUUGGCACUUGUAAUACUUACCACCACCGAUCGAAUUUUGAGCGACAAGUGAAUUGUCCGAAUUAUAGACUGAUGCCGAAACUUUAAUAGUGUUGGCAACGAUUUGCGGUCCACCACGCAAAAAUAUUACCAAAUUUCCUGACCUUGCAAUUAUAUUCAUGUUCAGUCACUAUUGAAUAAAUGAUAUCAACGACGCAAAAGUGUUGUUCGGAUAUAUAGAGAAUCUUCCAAAUGAAAUAUAUGCAACACAUUUUACGAAGUACUAGAUUUAGAAGAAAAAAAUCUUUGAAUUUAUAUGAAAUGAGGCCGUUUUUUUAAAUAAAAAAUAGCAAAUCAAAUAAUAGCAAACAAUUAGUUUUGAAUUUAAGACAAAUAUUCGCAAUUGUUUCUUGAUUUUCUUAGCCAUCUCUUAUUUUGCCUCAAGUGUUGUUGUUAUUUGCAGUCGCUGCUUCAUUAGUGCUUAAACCAUAGAAUUCCAUAACUUUCAUUCAAAUCGUUCGUUUCAAUUGAAUGAUUUCCAAUAUAAACAAAAAUCCCAUCUAAUUUUGAUCUAUACAAUUUAUUUAGAUAUUUUUUUCCUUUAAGUUCAGGGACAAACUCAGCAAAUGGUAAAUUAGUUUAUCAUUUUGUUUUGGUUAUUAAUAAAAUUCACAUUGUAUGUUUAACCGACAAGAACAACAUCAUCUUUGAAUGUGUAUUCUGGUACUUCUAGAUUGAGUGGAGCUGGACCUUUACGAAUACGACCUGAUGCAUCGUAAUGGGAACCGUGGCACGGGCAAUAGUAUCCACCGAAAUCACCAGCAUUGGCAAUUGGUACGCAUCCCAAGUGAGUACAUACACCGACAACAAUCAACCAUUUUGGAUCUUUCACACGUUCCUACGGAGAAAAUGAAUUUGGUUUUAGUUCGUUUUCAAAUGGUUAUGUAUAAACGAAUAAAAAACAGAAUUAACAUACUGAA